rnacentral:rRNA from 1 species
UACGUAGGGCCCGAGCAUUAUCCGGAAUUAUUGGGCGUAAAGAGUGUGUAGGUUUCUUUACAAGUCGGUCGUUAAAUCUCAGAGCUUAACUCUGAGGCUGCGAGCGAUACUGUAGAGAUAGAGGUUUGCAGGGGUGAGCAGAAUUUCUGGAGUAGGGGUGAAAUCCGUUGAUACCAGAAGGAAUACCAAUGGCGAAGGCAGCUCACUAGGCAAUACCUGACACUGAGACGCGAAAGCGUGGGGAGCAAACGGG